ACCUGUUUAAAGGGACACUGCGCUAUUUCAUGGGCGAGGGCGAAAACAGCUAAAGCGCAGAAAAGCAGAUAAAUGCAAAAUAGCCAGCAAGCAACCGAGCUAGCAAGCUAUGUGGUCAGAGAGGAGAGGAGAGACGACAAGACGAGACGGACAAAUUCCAUGAUCAACGAUGCAAUCAACUUCUCUUCGAAGAUAGCUAACGUUGGUUUUGAUGGCAAUCCGAUUGAUCUUUAAAUGUGAAAAGAGACACUUCAUGUGAAAUCGGACAGGGCUGUCCUGAAGCAAAGGUAAAAAGCAAAAAGUUAAACUCCGCUCCUGAGAUGGAGGAAAUGUCUCGUUAAUUAACCCUUUACGUGUGAAGCCUGUCGCCCCCUUCAUGUAGCUUGGUAGUUACUGCUCUGGUUGAGGAGGCCAAGAGAGGAAGAAAGAGCAAAAGAAAGCGAAGAGAGAGGGAGAGAUAUAACGAAGGCAAGCUGACCGGCUAGACUCUCUGAAAGGCAGAGAGACACCAGUCACCAGAGGUGCUCGCCCCAAAAACAAAAAGGAGAAGUGGAAAAACAAAGGCAGAGGAAAAGAAAGAGAAGCCUUGGCUGUGUCUCUGUGAGGGGUUUCUCUGUGGAAUGCCCGUGUCAUGAUGCCGUCGCUGAGACUCACCCUGCGUCCAGGUGACCAGGGAGGGCGUGUCGAGUCGUCAGCCAAUCACAGCAGGUGCUUUAGGAGAGUCAGUUCCUGUUUAUGUUCAUCAGUACUUCCUCUCAGAACCCUCCCGCCUCACUGAUGUCCUGCCCCCUCGGCGGUAGGUAGGUAGUUCCUGUAUCCAUCUCUUCCAUCACUUCCUCUUCCUCCUUACUGUCUGGCUGUGUGGGGAUGCUGGUGCUAGCUGGCACUGUUCGUAACUAUGGUGAUAGUCAGGUAACCGUGGCAAGAGGAGUCUGUGGGCACAGCUUCCUGAUGUUGUGCCAGGUGCUGAGGGGACAGGAGGGCACCAUCGAACGAACGGGCACAGAGGUGCUGUGCAACUCUGCUUCCUAGUUUACACUGAUGACAUCACAACAGGAAGCAUAGGACCUAUCUUACUGUAGAACGUCAAUCUCCGCCUCCUUGCACUUUCUAGAACUUCCUGUUGCUGCUACUUGACUUCCUGUUGCACAAAGUCUCUCAGACACUCUUAAGACCUCUAACCUCUGAACCCAAGCAGCCAUGAGGCACAUUCACGUAGAACUGACACGCGGCAGCAAGGAGGAGAUGGCUCCUGUGGAGCUUCCAUCCCAGGAUGGGGACCUGCCUCCUCCCACGGCCCCCUCACAGGUCCCCGACCUUGGGGUGAUGAGACCGGGGUUGGUGGUUCCCAAGCCCUUUGGUCAUGAGCAGCUGCGUCUCCAGAAGGUCUAUCAGCUCUCCAUCUUCUCCCAGCUGGGGGGGUUCUCAGCCUCCGAGCUCCCCAGAACCAGUGAGGCCCAGCCGGGGCAAGUCCAGCCGGGUCAGGUCCAGCGGACUGACAGGGUGGGGGUCAAGAGAGGACAGGGUGGGGUUCAAGAGGAUUCCCAUCUAACACACAAAUGGCCCCACCUGGCUGGGGACCUCGACAGGGAAAGGGAUGGAGGGGUGCUGUCAGGGUCAGGACCUGGGGUAGGGGUGGAUGUCGGA